AGCUUGCUUCUCUGAUGUUAGCGGCGGACGGGUGAGUAACACGUGGAUAACCUACCUAUAAGACUGGGAUAACUUCGGGAAACCGGAGCUAAUACCGGAUAAUAUUUUGAACCGCAUGGUUCAAAAGUGAAAGACGGUCUUGCUGUCACUUAUAGAUGGAUCCGCGCUGCAUUAGCUAGUUGGUAAGGUAACGGCUUACCAAGGCAACGAUGCAUAGCCGACCUGAGAGGGUGAUCGGCCACACUGGAACUGAGACACGGUCCAGACUCCUACGGGAGGCAGCAGUAGGGAAUCUUCCGCAAUGGGCGAAAGCCUGACGGAGCAACGCCGCGUGAGUGAUGAAGGUCUUCGGAUCGUAAAACUCUGUUAUUAGGGAAGAACAUAUGUGUAAGUAACUGUGCACAUCUUGACGGUACCUAAUCAGAAAGCCACGGCUAACUACGUGCCAGCAGCCGCGGUAAUACGUAGGUGGCAAGCGUUAUCCGGAAUUAUUGGGCGUAAAGCGCGCGUAGGCGGUUUUUUAAGUCUGAUGUGAAAGCCCACGGCUCAACCGUGGAGGGUCAUUGGAAACUGGAAAACUUGAGUGCAGAAGAGGAAAGUGGAAUUCCAUGUGUAGCGGUGAAAUGCGCAGAGAUAUGGAGGAACACCAGUGGCGAAGGCGACUUUCUGGUCUGUAACUGACGCUGAUGUGCGAAAGCGUGGGGAUCAAACAGGAUUAGAU
rnacentral:rRNA from 1 species